rnacentral:rRNA from 1 species
AGAUUGAACGCUGGCGGCGUGCUUAACACAUGCAAGUCGAGCGGUAACGCGGGAGCAAUCCUGGCGACGAGCGGCGAACGGGUGAGUAAUGCUUGGGAAUCUGCCCAUUAGUGGGGAACAACCAGCCGAAAGGUUGGCUAAUACCGCAUACGCCCUACGGGGGAAAGCGGGGGAUCGUAAGACCUCGCGCUAAUGGAUGAGCCCAAGUCGGAUUAGCUUGUUGGUAGGGUAACGGCCUACCAAGGCGACAAUCCGUAGCUGGUCUGAGAGGACGACCAGCCACACUGGGACUGAGACACGGCCCAGACUCCUACGGGAGGCAGCAGUGGGGAAUAUUGGACAAUGGGGGCAACCCUGAUCCAGCGACGCCGCGUGUGUGAAGAAGGCCUGCGGGUUGUAAGCACUUUAGUGGGGAUGAAAGCUCAGGGUUAACACUCUGGGUCUUGACCUAACCACAGAAAAGCACCGGCUAACUCUGUGCCAGCAGCCGCGGU